GGUGGCUCAGUGGUAGAGUGCUUGCCUUGCAUGCAUGAGGCCCUGAGUUUGAUUUCUCGGCACCA
rnacentral:tRNA from 1 species